UCUCCCGUGAGGGAGCUGUCUCGCCUGACACUUGUAACAGGCAACGGGGGUUGCGUUCGUUUCCCCACUUAAGGGAACAACUCAAGCCACGAACUGACGACGGCCAUGCAUCACCUGCCAUACACCCUCGAAGGCUUCCUCCCUUUCAAGAGGCGUGCAGUAUGGUUUCUAAUCCUGGUAAGGUUUUUCGUUUAGCGACGAAUUAAGCCACAUGAUCCACCGCUUGUGCGAGCCCCCGUCUAUUCCUUUGAGUUUUAAGCUUGCGCUCGUACUACCCAGGCGGUCAACUUAACGCGUUAGCUUCGCCUCGGGGAGGGUCGAUACUCCCCAAAGCCAGUUGACAACGUUUAGGGCGUGGACUAC
rnacentral:misc_RNA from 1 species